GACGAACGCUGGCGGCGCGCCUAACACAUGCAAGUCGAACGGAGCUGCGAGAAGCUUGCUUUUCUUAGCUUAGUGGCGAACGGGUGAGUAACGCGUGAGUAACCUGCCCUGGAGUGGGGGACAACAGUUGGAAACGACUGCUAAUACCGCAUAAGCCCACGAUCCGGCAUCGGAUUGAGGGAAAAGGAUUUAUUCGCUUCAGGAUGGACUCGCGUCCAAUUAGCUAGUUGGUGAGGUAACGGCCCACCAAGGCGACGAUUGGUAGCCGGACUGAGAGGUUGAACCGCCACAUUGGGACUGAGACACGGCCCAGACUCCUACGGGAGGCAGCAGUGGGGGAUAUUGCACAAUGGGGGAAACCCUGAUGCAGCGACGCCGCGUGGAGGAAGAAGGUUUUCGGAUUGUAAACUCCUGUCGUUAGGGACGAUAAUGACGGUACCUAACAAGAAAGCACCGGCUAACUACGUG
rnacentral:rRNA from 1 species